UGGAAACGAAGAAUAAUACCCUAUAAAACCAUAAAAGCACAUGCUAGAAUGGUCAAAGUGAUAGCGGUGUAAGAUGGACUUGCGUCUGAUUAGCUAGUUGGUGAGAUAAAAGCUCACCAAGGCAACGAUCAGUAGCCGGCUUGAGAGAGUGUACGGCCACAUUGGGACUGAGACACGGCCCAG
rnacentral:rRNA from 1 species